CAGACAAAAAGAAGAAGCGGUCACGAGGAAGCACGAGCCAGUUAAAAAGCAAAUUGUUUUAUUAUUUGAAUUAAUUUUUUGUGCGUUUCUUGCAGGAAGUACAGGCUUGGAAGUGAAAAUAUUUUCUUUUCCUCAUUAUGAAGUGAUUGUAAAAUAUUCAGGUGUGUAUACAGACCUAGAGAGCGCGAGACCUGAUUCAUUAAACAACUAAUAAAAAAGUUUGCUUCAGAUAGCAAUGUGAAAGUUUUGCUCAAAGGCUCCAGAUUUUUCUCACGGAUUUCUUAGACACUGGAUAUAACUAAUGGGUAAAACAGUUCCUCUGAGACUGCUGGGGUUUCUGAUACAGGUUGUGAGUUUUCCUGGUUUAUGUGGUCCAGCGUCUGUCCGUGUACAGGUGGAGUUUUGUAGCUUUCCACUCAGCCUUGAGCCUUAUUCCUACACACUUUUACUGGAAAACAAGGUGCUGAGCAGCAGUGUGGUGUGUCAAAGAGUGUGUGAGUGUAUCAUGGAUGUACGUGUACCACAGUCCUCACCUAAACUGAAUCUGACUUUACAGUCGUAUGAACAGGAUCAGAUCCUAGAGGCCAGAUUCUUCCAGCUAGUUCCUCUUCAGAACUCCUUUCUGAAGGUUGAGGUCUCUUCCACUAGUGCUCUGCUGAACUGGACUGACUGGACCAGUGAAGAGACACAGCACGUGUGUGUAGAUGGUCAGUGUUGGACGCUUUCCUCUUCUCAGCCAUCACGCUUGGUAUCAGGACUACAACCUGGAACACGCUACACAGUUACCGUAGAGCAGAAAACGUUUGUUCCACAUGUCAAUAUCACGCUCACGCAGAAGCUGCAGCUGGCCAUCGAGACAGCACGGUGUCCUCUGGGCUGGAUAGCAUCAGGAUGGAACUGUUUCCAGGUCAGACAGGAUGUUCGGACAUGGCCUGAAGCACAGCGGAUGUGUGAGAGCGUUGGUCCAGGAGUCCAUCUGGCUAGUGUGAAGACAGACAAUGACUUUCUGUCUGUCUCUGAAAAACUCCAAUCCCACAACCACCUGCUGCUGCUGUGGACAUCUCUGAAUGACCGAGGGGAAGAGGGCCGUCUCUGCUGGGCUGAUGGCUCCGCCUACAACCUGAAUGUUGCUGUAAUAUCAUCUCUCUCAGCCAAUCAGACGGACUGUUUUGCCCUCCAGAGGAACGCCACAGGACCAGGCUACUUCUUCACCAGUCUACUGUGUGAUGUCUGGCUUCCCUACCUCUGCCAUACACCAUUGGUGCAGGGGUCUUUCUCUGGCCUGUGUGUGGACAGCGUGCAGGAGACAGAAGCAGUGUUCAGCUGGUCAGACAUUUCUCAGCUCCAUUCAGCUUUUGGCUCAGUGCUCAGCCUGCAGGUUCAUGACCAGUCUGGCCGAAUCCUCACACACACUCCGUUUGACGGCACAUUGAAUAGAAAGCAUGUGAAUGGACUCUCCGCUGGACACAUCUAUUACGCCUCACUCAACCUUACACACCCCAGUGGAGCGUUUCAAACCCUCGGCCCUGUUUCCAUAGUUAAAACCAGACCAAACCCUCCACAGAACCUAAGAGUGAAUAAUGUCACAUCCACUCAGAUUGCCCUGUCCUGGGAUGCCCCUGACUCUACCCAUGAUGCUUCGUUUGAGCAAUACUUCCUGUGCUGGUUGGAUGUAGCCUCUGGAUGUGGGCGGGGCUUAUGGUUGAACAGAGGGAAUCUCAGUACUGUAAUCGUUGAACUGAAAGCUUACCAUUUAUACCAAAUCACUCUGGUGUCAGUCACAGCAGAAGGGGUGGAGAGUGCUGAGGCCACGCCCCUGGUUGUCAUCACAGAGGUUAACCCUCCACACAGCGUUUCAGUGUCUGCUACUGGGACAGAAAACGUGACCGUGUGCUGGGGGCAGCCUCCUGAUGACGAGGUUGAUGUAUUUCACAUCCAGCUCCGGCCUCACGCUCCGAGUCAGGAGCACUCCAGGGAAUUCUGGGUCAAUAACUCAGACUGUAUUACGGUGACAAAUCUUGUUCCUGGUGAGACGUAUGAUGUGGGUGUGGCUACAGAAAGGGGCAGGAACAGAAGCGUGGAGAAAACCUUACAACACACGCUGAAACCUCAGAUGGUCCGAGACGCCGUCCCGUAUGCAGUGGACAAGGACUCUGUGGUCUUGUUUGUGCAGAUGCCCACGAGAGGUGUUUAUGAUGGUCUUGCUAUAACUUACAGCAGGGUCAGCACUUGGAUUCCAAUGUCCAGUGGUAUCGGGACCAGUAAAGCAGUGGUGGGAAAUCUGAGUCCAGGAACAGUGUAUGAGUUCCAGCUGUUUGUCACCAGUAGAGGCAUGAGCAGUGACGGCUUCACUUUGCUCCCGGUUAGAACCUGUCUUGCUCCUCCAGUGCGGGUGGGUGCCGGUGUUGUGACUGACCAUUCAGUGGAAGUGCUGUGGGAUCGAGCACAAGGCCAUGAACUUGCGUAUGAAGUGCUUUGCCUGGGCUGUACUGACAAAGUUAUGGUACAGAAAGUGUCUGAGACUAGGGCAGUGAUUGAUGGUGUGAUCGCAGGAAGGCUGUGUAACAUCUCAGUGCGCACAGAAAAGGAGUCUUUCAGAGACAGUGCGCCUGUUUUCCUCCCCAUCAGAGCUUUCCCUAGCUCGGUCACUUUAGCGCCCGUUCAGAGGACAUCAUCAUCCCUGAGUGUGAGCUGGAAAGAGGGACCAGGAUUGUGUAACGCUUUCAUUCUGUCCCUCAAAAACUCCACCUACAACCUGCAGAUGAAGCUCAGUGUCUCUGAUGAGAGGUGGUAUAACUUUGAGCGUCUUCCUCCUGGGACUGUUUACACUGUCGAGGUGAUAAGUGUCAGUGGAGAGAGACACAGUUUUCCCACCGCACUUUCCCUUAAUACAUUUCCAGCACCUCCUGAUGCCAUCACCUUUAUUGAGCAGGAAGGAAAUGCCAUGUACAUCACCUGGACACGACCGCUCGGACGAGUGACCGGCUACAGGUUGUUUUACGCUCUCCAUAUGGACAAUUCUCUUCGUCGCCGAAUCAUCGUCCAUGGCAACCACAUGAGGAUAACUGACCUCAUCCCAGGAAGUGAUUACGAGUUUGAGAUCCAGUCCUUCCUGGGAGAAGAUUUCAGCCAGACUGUCAGCAAGAACUUCUCCACUAGUCCUGCAGGCGUGUGUUCUCUCUCUCUGUCACACUUCAACUCCUCAUCCGUCACACUGGCUUGGGACGUUGCUGUCGGCCAUUUUGACUUCCACAGGGUGACGGUCAGUAACGAUUCACACCGCUGGGUGUACAGCGUGAGCACAGACGCUCAGGAAUACACAGCGAGCGGCCUGCGGGACGGCUGCUCCUACAACGCCAGUGUGGAACGAGUCAGAAACACACAGAAGGGGAUAGCUGCCACUCUUACCGUACACACAGUCCCUGCUAUUCCUGAAGACGUGCAUGUGGUCAGUGUGUCUCCUCGCUCGUUCUCUCUCCACUGGGUGCCAUCCUCCGGAUGUGAUCAGCACUAUUCUGUGCAUCUUACCCCAGACCAUGGCAAUGUGACCACGAUAACUACACCAGACGGACAUGUACAGGCCAAUGUGUCCAGUGUGACUCCAGGAACACAGUACACAGUAACAGUCGGUAUAGUCGCCUCCUCAGGAACGAGGUCUGCUGUGAGCCGCUCCAUCACCACCGCUGAAUCAGUUCCUGCAGCACCCUUUAAACCAGAAGGAGAGCGAGUGGGCUCGAAUGGGAUCCUCCUCUCCUGGAAGAUGCCGCUUCCACCUGACCUCAGCAUCCACUCGUUCGUCAUCAGAUACAAGGAAAUGUGUCCACAUCCUGACUCUGUUUUCACUGAGGUCACAAAGAUCCUGGACAUCCCAGAAACGCUGCUGAACACACUCUCACCAGGGGCAACGUAUAACAUUAAGGUUGCUGCAGUGAAUAAGGCAGGAGUCGGACCCUUCAGCCAGUCACUUUACUUCAAAACUGCAGAGGCUCCUCCUGGCAUGGUAACAAACCUCACAGCUUUUGCUCAGAAUCACUCCUCAGUGGUUGUGAAAUGGUUCUUGCCUGUACGCAUUAAUGGACUCAUCACUAAGUUUGCGGUUAAAGCCAAACACGCCAGAACCGGGCAGGUGGUCCGCAUUCUGGAGCUCAACGCCGAGGAGAUCAUGAACGGAGCUCUGCCUCACUGCAACGAUGCUGCAGAUUUCCUGUCCCGUGGAACUCCAAGCCCCUCCAUAACUUCCGUAACGUCUGCAUUGCCGCCUCUCACCAUGUCAGCCAUUCCUUCCGCCUCUAUCUGGAAUGUGCCAAUCACAGUGGGAAUGGACAUGCUCCGCCCCUAUACAGCUUAUGUGUUCGAGGUGUCCGCCUUCACCAGCGAUGGGGAGGGACAAAUUGCCAGCACCAUGGUCCGCAUGCCAGAAGCUGCUCCUGAAGAUUCUCCACAGAAUUUGUCUUUAUGGAACAUCACCUCGAAAUCUCUUUCCCUGAACUGGGAGUCUCCAACCAUCAUCACAGGACGUUUUAGCUACGUCAUCCAACUCCACGGCCCUGCAGGUCUCAUUAGUGAGAACAGUACCAGUGAGCAAUCAAUUGUUUACACUGGGCUGACUCCAUACACACGCUACCACAUCGUCGUCAUGGCCAAAUCAGCCGGAGCCACUGGACCUGCUGCAGAAACCAGAAUCUUAACACCUUCAGAGGCCCCCAGCACCGUGUCGUAUCUCAGAGCAGAAGCUGUGGACUCCACAUCUGUACAUCUGUCCUGGGGAAUCCCAAACCAGCCCAACGGACUAAUCACUCGCUACCGUAUCCUCGUCCUGCACCAUGAGAUGCUUGUACAGGACAUCACACUCCGAGCACUGCAGCAGAAUGCCAGCCAGAAUGGUGCUAGUGCUGGAUCUGACCCGGGACCUAUUCUAAACUCCGCCCAGCCACGACUGUCUACAAGAGCGGCGAUCACAGGCCUGACGCUCCAGUCACGUGACUUCACACAAACAGCAGUCACGAGCCGGAUUGAGGUUCUGCCACCCACUGAAGAGCUUGUCGACUUAUCUUCCAAUCACAUCUCCUACAUCGUGACAAGACUGAGUCCUUUCACCGACUACAACUUCAGCGUGUCCGCCUUCACCACUGUAGGAGAAGGACCUGCCACUCUGACUGCACAGAAAACUAAGGAACAGGUGCCGAGCUCUGUCCAGGAUGUGUCCUACAAGAACAUCAGCUCCACCUCUAUCUUUGUGAGCUGGAAUCCACCUCUGAACCCCAAUGGGAAGAUCACACACUACACCGUCUACAUCCUCAACCUGAAAACACACAAGGCACGACAACAGGUCACGAACACCACUAACAUCAUCCUCACAGAUUUGGAUAAAUACACACAGUAUAAAGUGCGUGUGGCUGCUUGGACUGCAGCAGGCGAGAGCCCUGUGUCUGAUGAGGAUAACAUCUUCAUACUGACACCUGAGGAUGAGCCGGAUUCUCCUCCUCACACCCUGGUGCUUUUGAACACCACGUCCUCCACAGCCACCAUCACCUGGUCUCCUCCUGAUAAACCUAACGGGAUCAUCGUCUUCUACGAGGUGACCUACAGCAACUCCACCUUCAGCUACACGGUCAACUCGACUGCUCCCAGUGUCACACUGCGCCACCUCAAACCAUAUACUCUCUACAACGUCACUGCGCGUGGGUACACACGACUCGGCCAUGGGAAUCAGACCUCACCCACGCUACAGAUGCUGUCCGGGGAGGAUGUGCCUGGCAGUCCUCCAUAUGCUCUUGCCUAUGACAGCAUCAGCUCCAGCGAGGUGAACGUGUCCUGGUCGCCGCCCCUUGUGCCCAACGGAGUCAUCUUGUACUACAGUGUGGAGUACUGGAACACCACACACUCUCUGAACAUCACCACACACACACCGUCAGUGCUCCUGUCCAACCUGCGCAAGUACGCACGCUACCGCCUCAGCGUUCAAGCAGGCACUCGAGUCGGAUUGGGGAACCACAGCAGCGAAAUCCUCAACAUCACCACUCUGGAGGACGUGCCAAGUGAUACAGUCCAUAAUCUCUCGGCUCAGCUGUACGGCUCGACGGCUGUAGUGAUCAGUUGGGACCCCCCGCUGGAGCCCAAUGGUAGAGUCUUCUACCAGCUAAGCCUGCAGGAGGCGGGCAUAACCCACCCAUCCAUCAACCGCACGGAAAACCAGACCAUUACCAAGACAACCACCGACACGGUUUUCCUUUUCACCAAACUCAGAAAGUACUUCCCCUAUGUGCUACGAGUUACCCCGGCAACAAGUGCAGGCCCCGCCUUGGACCACACCUCUGUACUGCACAUGAGAACGGAUGAUGAUGUACCCAGUUCAGCUCCGUUGCUGGGUGUGAGCAGGAAUCUCACCUCCACCUCUAUCCUGGUGUCAUGGUAUGCUCCGGUGGAACCUAAUGGGGAGAUAAUCGAAUACGCCGUAGUUCUACAGGGUCCCCGAGGAUCUAACAGCACGUACACGGCCAAUUUGCAGCUCAAUCUCACACACCUCACCCCAUACACAGCCUACAACCUCUCCAUCUCUGCGGUCAAUCGCAGGGGCAUGGGACCCUCACUCAUGCUGGCUCUGCACACAGAUGAAGCAGGUCCAAUGUCUCCACCAAGAAACCUGAGCAUCUUUAACCACUCUUCUGACUCAGUGUGGCUCCACUGGGAACCCAGUCUGGAGCCCAAUGGCGUCAUUCAACAUUACGGAUUCAAAAUAGUGGAACUGAACACGAAUGCUGUUAUAUAUCAGAACUCCACCGGUGCUUCUACUCAGGCAGAAUUGCGUGGCUUCAGACCUCAUAGCUCUUAUGAGAUAAGUGUGUCCACUUACACCAGAGCAGGCAAUGGAGACCAGUACAGUCUUCCUGUAACCUUUACUACUCGCGAGUCAGUGUCUGAGGAGGUUGGAAAUCUCUCCUGUUCUGGUCUGGAUUGGGAUUCAGUGUAUAUGGAAUGGAUGCCUCCAGAAAACCCCAAUGGAGAGAUCCUGCUUUAUCACAUUGUUUCAGAAGAUCACAGACACGAGGUGUGGCCCCUUAUACUUCAAGACAAACUCGCAUACACUUUCAGCGGCCUGUAUCCGGACACGCUGUAUGUUAUCUCCGUGGCUGCCGUUAACUCCGCGGGUCCAGGGAUCGAGGCCAACUGCACAGCACAGACACUUCCUGAAUCAGUUCCUGAUCCCCCGGAGUCGCUGUCUGUGGUGAAUCUUAGCUCGGAUGCCGUGACCCUGAGCUGGCUCAGUCCUGCCCGAGUCCCCGGUCACUUACGGGGUUACAGAGUGCACAGACAGCGCCUGGCACUAGGGUGUGACAUGAAGGACGAUGAUUCCUGUGCGGAGAGUGAAGUUUUUCUGUGGGUAAAUGCGACAGAACAGGAAUCGAGGGAGGUUCGCGUAACACUGCAGCCUCUGCUUAAAUACAGACGCUAUCGUGUCAGAGUGGUGGCCUGGACCAACGCUGGAGCUGGACAACCUACAGAGUGGAUGCACAUACACACACUAGCAGGAAACCCUGACGCCCCACCAGUUGCUGUCUUGGCAGUUCCUUCGAUCUCUGGGAUGAAAAUCACUUGGGAUGAACCAGCAAUCAUUUCAGGACCCACCUCCUACCUCGUUGACGUUAUUGCUUUGGACGGCUCAGGUCGUAACACGACCUUAGUGAGGAAUGCAGGAGAAAUCAGGAUGGUCGUCAUUGAGAACCUGACCGCGUACACUUAUUACUCAGUUACUGUCACUGCCUUUACCGGAGACGUGACCAACGCCCACCAAGACGGCAUGGCCUCCCAGCCGGUCACUGUCCGGACGCUCGAAGGGGAACCAAAGGAUCCACCCAAAAACGUGACCUUGAUCAUCGUACCAGAAGAAGUGACCCGUGUGUACGUAACGUUCUUACCACCGGAUGUGCCUAAUGGUAACAUCAGUGCCUAUCAUGUUUAUAUUUACCGUGACGGACAACUCGACUUCGAGAUCGGCAGCUUGCCUGUGGUCAGUAAUCAGAACAAGACCAUGACUGCUUCUAUACAGGGUCUUAAAGGAGGCUUCAACUACAGCAUACAGAUAGCUGCAGUGAACGGAGCAGGAUUUGGACCCAGAUCAGAAGUUGAACUCAGCAUGCCAAUAAAAGCUCCACCGAUGCCCUCCAAGAAGCCAGUGGUAGCCCUGAACAGCGUAGGCGCUGUCAUGGCAACAUCCCAAACCAUCACUAUCGAGAUGCCUUUGUGUUUCUUCUCGGAUAUAAACGGUCCUAUUCACAAGAUCCAGGUCAUCGUCUCUGAGCCAGCAGUGAUGGACUACAAUAAUGUGUCUAACUGGAAGAGCGUCUUCCUUCACCCUACUGCCCCGUACGUGACGGAUGAAGGCUUUUCAAACCCGGAGUGCUCUGAGGAUCUGAGUCCUGCUGAGGAUAUGCUUCGCAAGAACGUACGUGCCAGGACAUACGCGAUAGGAGCGGAGGAAGGAUGUUUCUCAGAGGAGGCGGAGAUCCUCUGUAACGGGCCUCUCAAACCCAAAACGUACUAUGUAUUUAAAUUCCGUGCAACGAACAUCAUUGGCCAGUACACAGACUCGGAGUACUCAGACAGGGUCCGAACCGCAGGUUACCGCCUUCUGACCCGGGACGAACAGAUCAUACUUGGAGUGCUCCUGUCUUUUUUCCUGGCUUUGUUCCUGAUCUUGAUUAUAUAUGCUUCUGUGAGGAUCCAUCAGAGGCAGAAGGAGGGAGGCACCUAUUCUCCACGAGAAGCAGAGAUUAUAGAGACCAAGCUGAAGCUGGAUCAGCUGAUAGCGAUGGCAGACAUGGAGCUGAAAGAGGAGAAAAUCCAGCGAAAAUGAUACCGGUUAGACAAAAUCUGACGAGGAUCCAUUCUAGAUUCAUCCCAGUGAAGUAGUUGUUAUUAUAUAGUCAUAUGUUCCACUUUCAAUAGAAUUUCUUACUACACAAUACCACUCUGAAUAAACUUCCUCAGGUAAGGCAUCAACAUGUUUCUCUGAAUUAAAAGGCUGCUAUUAUAUUUGAACAAACUUAACUAAAACACUUGCGUUCACAUAUCACUCCUCACUCUGCUGUAUGCCCCGCCCCUUUCUUUGAUUGGCAGCACAGAUCCUCAGAGACUAUAUAAUUGAUUCAGACGGCUCUCACGUGCCGUUCUGACUUUAAGGCACUUUUCGGUUUGCAGAGAAGAUAUUUAAACAUGUUCUUAUUGUAAUUCCUCAAUGACGACAAGGCCUUAUCGGUGUUCAGACACUGCUUCAUGAUCUGACACACUAACGCACACUUUCACCAGCUCUCUGAUUCACUCACUACCCCUUGUUUUUCUCAGGUACUCCUCCUUUUUCUUUAGGAGGAAGGAGAUAUUUGUCAUCCAGUAAGUGGUUAAAAUGCUGCAGUCAUGCCUGCGGAUGCAUGAUGCAUGCUCUGGUUUCUUCGUCUUUACGAAUUUAUUUUUCGCAAUAUUCCGGUGUGGUUGUGUUGCAUUGUGUGUGUGUGUGUGUGUGUGUGUGUGUGGAUAUUCAUUAUUAAUAUAGCAGUCAUUCGGGGACUGGUUAUAACUUUAGCCUUCAUGGACUUGGCUCCAUGUUGCUGUGUGUGUGUGUGUGUGUGUGUUUUCAGUAGGUUGUUUACUAUCGUAGGAGUCUCAAUUGUAAAUCUCACAUAGGCUACAUUCACACUGCAGGUAAAAAUGGUUCAGUGUUUAUUAUUUAUUUAUUUAUUUAUUUAUAUCACCAUUUUUUAUUAUUAUUAAUUAUUUAAAUCUGUAUUGAACAAACACAUCUGAUAUGCGGCAAUUAAAUGGCAAAAAAUCUUCACAUUAAUGGAGAAGACAUCUUCAUAACCUAUUAGGAAUAAUGUAAAAACCUUAAUAGUUUUAAUUUAAGUAUUAAUGAGUAUUAAUAAAUAAAACAUCGGUAUUAAAUUGAAUCAUUAAAGAAUAAUGAACUGGACGUUUGAACUUGCAGUGAGAACGUAGCUGGGGAUUUUAUUUUGUUCUAACAUCUAACAGAAAUAACCAUUCUUGUAUCAUUUAUUUAUUUAUGGCGCAGUUUUCUAUAAUAUUUUCUAUUAACAUUUCAGGCUGCUCAGUUAUAGGAAAUCUCUCAAGCCGAUCAGUAAGAAGGCUUUCAUUCAGCACGUGGAGGAUCUUUGUGCCAAUGACAACGCCAAGUUUCACGAGGAAUUUGCUGAACUGCCGAAGCUUCUGCAUGACCUGGCAACGUCGGACGCUGACCUACCAUGGAAUCGCUCCAAAAACCGCUUCACAAACAUUAAACCCUGUA